rnacentral:rRNA from 2 species
GUGGGUAACCUGCCUGUAAGACUGGGAUAACUCCGGGAAACCGGGGCUAAUACCGGAUAGUUCUUUUCCUCGCAUGAGGAAAAGUGGAAAGGCGGCUUCGGCUGCCACUUACAGAUGGACCCGCGGCGCAUUAGCUAGUUGGUGAGGUAACGGCUCACCAAGGCAACGAUGCGUAGCCGACCUGAGAGGGUGAUCGGCCACACUGGGACUGAGACACGGCCCAGACUCCUACGGGAGGCAGCAGUAGGGAAUCUUCCGCAAUGGACGAAAGUCUGACGGAGCAACGCCGCGUGAGUGAUGAAGGUUUUCGGAUCGUAAAGCUCUGUUGUUAGGGAAGAACAAGUGCCGUUCGAAUAGGGCGGCACCUUGACGGUACCUAACCAGAAAGCCACGGCUAACUACGUGCCAGCAGCCGCGGUAAUACGUAGGUGGCAAGCGUUGUCCGGAAUUAUUGGGCGUAAAGCGCGCGCAGGCGGUCUCUUAAGUCUGAUGUGAAAGCCCACGGCUCAACCGUGGAGGGUCAUUGGAAACUGGGGGACUUGAGUACAGAAGAGGAAAGUGGAAUUCCACGUGUAGCGGUGAAAUGCGUAGAUAUGUGGA